CCUACGGGAGGCAGCAGUGGGGAAUAUUGCACAAUGGGGGGAACCCUGAUGCAGCGACGCCGCGUGGGUGAAGGAGUAUUUCGGUAUGUAAAGCCCUAUCAGCAGGGACGAACAAUGACGGUACCUGACUAAGAAGCACCGGCUAAAUACGUGUCAGCAGCCGCGGGAUUACGGAUGGUGCAAGCGUUAUCCGGAUUUACUGGGUGUAAAGGGAGCGUGGGCGGCGCGUUAAGCCUGGUGUGAAAGCCCGCGGCCCAACCGCGGGACUGCAUUGGGAACUGGCGGGCUUGAGUGCUGGAGGGGUAGGCGGAAUUCCUGGUGUAGCGGUGAAAUGCGUAGAUAUUAGGAGGAACACCAGUGGCGAAGGCGGCCUACUGGACGGUGACUGACGCUGAGGCGCGAAAGCGUGGGGAGCAAACAGGAUUAGAUACCCUGGUAGUC
rnacentral:rRNA from 1 species